rnacentral:snRNA from 1 species
AAGCUAGUGACAGCCAUUGUAAA